CCCCUCCUCCUCCUCCUUUCCCCUCUCCUCCUCCUUUCCCUCCUCCUCCUCCUUCUUCCCCCUCCUCCUCCUCCUCCUUCUUACCCUCCUUCCUCCUCCUCCUCCUCCCAGGGGGCUUCGUGGUGAAGUGGUUAGCACACUCGGCUCACAACCGAGAGAGCUCGGGUUCGAUUCCCGGGCGGAGUGGAAAAAUUUGGGCGGCUUUUCCGAUACCCUACGCCCCUGUCCACCCAGCAGUGAAUGGGUACCAGGUAUUAAUCGGGGGUUGUGUCCCGUCUCCUGGGAUCUGUUCCCUUCUCCUAUAAUUCCUUCCCCUUCUGUUUCUCUCCGGCAUAUGACCACAGAUGCUGCGCCGACUAAACGAAACUUUUUCAACUUUUUCCUCCUCCUCCUCCUCCCUCCUCCUCCUCCUCCACCCCGGUUGCCGCCCCUCCCACUCCUCCCGUAGCUGCUUCCCUUCCGUCUACUGACACAGUUUCUAAGAGGAAAGUCCUGGUGGUUGGGGACAGUCAAGUCAGGUUCAUUGACAGGUACUUUUGUCCAAGGGAUAAGAAAAAUAGGCUUCGGGCUUGCUUUCCCGGGGCAGGCAUACAGCACUUAUCUGACAGGAUGGAAGAAAUUUUAACAGGGGAGGGGACACAACCUAUCGUCUUCUGCAGUUUCGGUGGUAAUGACAUCGGUAGAGUGGGUAGCGAAGAGAUAUUUCGGCGCUUCAGGGAAUCGUUCGCUAAAGUGAGAGACUUCGGAGGGGUGCCGGCCGUUUGUGGUGUUUUGCCGAGGAGGGGGGUAGGUGAGGGAUGGCUUUCCAGAGCCUUAGCAGUAAACAGCAGGCUGGCGGCCCACUGUAAGCGAAAUGGUUGGCUUUUCCUUGAUAAUUGGGACCUCUUCUACGAUAAAGGCACCUUGUAUGCCAAGGAUGGUGUGCACCUGUCACUCCAGGGGGUGGAGGUUCUCGCAGACUCCCUCGAGCGAUCACUUAGCACCCUACAGGAUUUUUUAGAGUAGGCGAGGGGGGAGGGCCUGUCAUCAGUGGCUAUGCAUCGCAGACUGGGACUAGGGGGCGCAGGAGUGAUCGAAAGGAUAUAAGAAAGGAUGGGCUAACGGCUUAUUACACCAACAGUAGGAGUCUCUGGAACAAGAUAGAUCUACUAAGGGGGAAAGCAUGUGUCGAAAAAUUUGACAUUAUAACUAUAACGGAAACAUGGGUGGAUACUGCAAUCAAAAACUUUAUGUCGGAGUAUUUUUUUUUUUUUUUUUUUUUUUUUUUACAUUGCUGCCUAUUGCGCCGGUAGGCUUCUUCCCGGUGGAUCCUGAUGGUCGGUCCAAGGCUUCAUUCCGGUGGGCGAGUGUUUAUAGUGGCGCCAUCUUGCAUUGGCUCAUGCUGCCCUCCCAGAGCUCAUUUUUGAUCCUAGAAUCUAGAGUCCGGGUUGAUAGGUGGUCUUCUGGACAGCAUGUGGGUAGUUUUAAGCCACUCGGCGGCGGCUGAAAAAUCCCAGCUUGGUGGCACCGGGCGGGGAUUGAACUCGCGUCCUCCUGAACACGAGGCCGUUACUUUGACGACUCAGCCACCGCCUCCCCCAAUGAUGAUUAUCAGAUGUUUCACAGAGAUAGAAAGGGAAGAAGGGGAGGGGAGACUUUAUGUUAAAGACACAAUUAAAUGUUCCGCUAACAACUCUGUUCAAACAAAUGGCGACUCAGAACCAGUUUGGGUGGACGUCCACAAAGGGAAAGACAAACUAAUUUUAUGGGUUCUUUACAGGCCACCCAACCGUAGCAGGCAGGACACUGAUAUAUUACUGCAAAAGGUAGGCAGGGCUAGCAGGGGCAAAAAUUUCUGCAUAAUGGGGGAUUUUAACUGUGGGAAUAUAGACUGGGAAGGCGUGGUGGGUGAUCUAGAAUCUGAGGAUUUUCUGAAAGUAAUACAAGAUAAUUUUCUCAAGCAGACAGUAACUGAGCCCACCAGAGGUAACAACAUUCUAGACUUGGUCUUAACUAACACCGAGAAUAUGAUCAACGAGCUAGAUGUUGGGAGAGAAUUAGGUGGCAGUGAUCACAGGGAAAUUAGGUUUAAAUUAGACUGGGCGGUGACCCAUGAACUCAACCCUGUGUUGGUGCCUGACUUUAGAAGAGCUGAUUAUGAGGGGCUCAGAAGACACCUUGAGGAGGUAAAUUGGGGAACCUUAGGGCUGGAUGAGGGCCAGAUUUCAGGACUGGAACCGGAAAGACAGAGGAACCAUGUAGAAAUGAUCUACAAUAAUUUAGUUAGAGUAAUUGCAGAGGGUCAGAGACAGCAUAUCCCUUACCAAGCACGUAGGAAGGAAAAUAACGACCCCUAAUGAAUGACCCGCAGAUUCAAGCAUGAGACUGGCUUGAAGAGAGGAAUUUAUAGGAAAAUAAAGAAAGGAAAAACCCACCUCAGGGGUAGGUAUGUUGAGCUAGCCAGGUCGGUGAAGAAGAACACCCGCCUAGCAAAAAGAAAUUAUAAAAUUAGGGUAGCCAACGAGGCCAAGAGCGAUCCCAAGGACUUCUUCAAAUUGCACAGAACGAAAGCAAGGGACAGAAUUGGACCGUUGAAAACAAACACGGGUGAGCUCGUUGAGAAUGGAGAAGAUAUGAGUCAAAUGAUGAAUGACUAUUUCCUCUCAGUUUUCACGCAGGAAAAUCUAACAACCAUUCCGGAGAGAGUUCAGGUAUAUGAGGGCGAAGAGAACGACAAGUUCAGGGAUGUGAUCAUCACUAGGCAAGUAGUCCAGGAUGAGAUUAGUAGGUUGAAGAAAAACAAAUCGCCGGGCCCAGACGAAGUAUUCCCAAGGGUUCAGAAAGAGUGCAAGGAGGUCCUUAAUGGGCCUCUUACCGAUAUCUUUAAGAUGUCGGUAAAUUCUGGGUAUGUGCCCAAUCAGUGGAAAGUAGCUAAUGUGACGCCGAUUUUCUUAAAGGGAAACAAGUUAGCCACCUCAAAUUAUCGCCCAAUUAGCUUAACAUCAGUUGUAGGAAAGACGUUGGAGUCAAUUAUAGCCGGGAGCAUUCGGGACCAUCUAGAAAAGCAUAAUUUAAUUCAUGAUUCACAGCAUGGGUUCACAAAAGGUAGGUCUUACCUUACUAACCUGUUGUCCUUCUACACUAAAGUAAUCGAGGCGGUUGACCGAGAUGAAAACUAUGACAUUAUAUCUAGAUUUCAGUAAAGCGUUCGACAAAGUCCCUCAUCACCGGCUAUUACUAAAAUUACAGGCUCACGGCGUAGAUGGGAAAGUUUUGAGCUGGAUCAGGGCGUGGCUGAGUGGUAAGAAGCAGAGAGUGUAAAUCAAUGGUAAAAAAUCUGAAUGGGGCAGUGUUACGAGUGGAGUCCCACAAGGAUCGGUGCUGGGUCCUCUGCUUUUUAUUAUUUACAUCAAUAACUUGGACACAGGAAUUAGUAGUGAUGUCAGUAAGUUCGCAGACAAUGCCAAGAUCGGUAGAGUAAUCCAAUCAGACAGGGACGCUACCGAUCUCCAGGAUGAGUUUGACAGGCUAUAUGAUUGGGCGGGGAAGUGGCAGAUGGAAUUCAAUGUCGGGAAGUGUAGCAUUUUGAGUGUAGGCAGGAAUAACCCCUCACACAAUUACUCCUUAAAUGACACUCCUCUAAGCAGGUCUGGGCGUGAGAGAGACUUAGGAGUCCUAGUGAGCGUUGACCUUCGUCCUAGGGCUCAAUACAUUCAGGCUAAAAAUCGGUCAAACAGAGUACUGGAUUUCAUCUGAAGGAGCGUAAGCAAUAGGAGCGCUGAAGUCAUCCUCAAACUUUACUUAGCACUAGUUAAACCUCAUCUCGAUUAUGCAGUUCAGUUCUGGUCCCUCUACUAUAGAAUGGAUAUAAAGAUGUCAGAAUCUGUACUGAGGAGGAUGAAAAAGAUGAUUCAGGGGGUGAGAAACUUGCCUUAUGAAGGUAGACUGAAGCAUCUAAAUCUACACUCUCUAGAAAGGCGAAGGUUGCGAGGAGACCUGAUCGAAGUCUAUAAAUGGAUGAAGGGCUUUAAUAAAGGGGAUGUCAAUAAGAUUUUGGUAGUAAAAGAGCCAGGUAGGACACGUAGCAAUGGUUUUAAGUUAAACAAAUUCAGAUUCAGCAAAGACAUAGACAAGAAUUGGCUCACCAACAGAGUGGUAGAUGAAUGGAACAGGCGUGGGAGCCAUGUUUUCGGUGUCAAUACCAUAGAUACAUUCAAGAAGAGGUUAGAUAAAACCAUGGAUUUUUUUUUUACAACAAAUUAGGCAGGUCAAGAGCACAGAAAAAAACAAUAAUAAAAAAAAGCCCGCUAAUUGCUGCUCCCAUAAAAGAAUCAGCAGAGGUGGCCAAAAGCAAGGUCAAAUUCGGGAGGAGAGGUGUCCUGAUACCCUCCUCUUGAAAGAGUUCAAGUCGUAGGCAGGAGGAAAUACAGAUGAAGGAAGAUUGUUCCAGUGUUUACCAGCGUGAGGGCUGAAAGAGUGAAGAUGCUGGCUAACUCUUGCAUAAGGAGUUUGGACAUUAUAGGGAUGAGCAUGAGUAGAAAGUCGUGUGCAGCGGGGCCGCGGGAGGGGGGGAGGCAUGCAGUUAGCAAGUUCAGAAGAGCAGUCAGCGUGGAAAUAUAGAUAGAAGAUAAGAGGAUAAGAGGCAACAUCGCGGCGGAAUUUAAGAGGUAGAAGACUAUCAGUAGGAGGAGGAGAGCCGAUGAGACGAAGAGCCUUAGCCUCCACUCUGUCCAGAAGAGCUGUGUGGGUGGAGCCCCCCCACAUGUGAAAUGCAUACUCCAUACGAGGGCGGGCAAGGCCACUGUAUAUGGAUAGCAACUGCGCGGGGGAGAAGAACUGGCGGAAACGAUACAGAACGCCCAACCUCGAGGAAGCUGAUUUAGCGAGAGAGGAGAUAUGAAGUUUCCAGUUGAGAUUUUGAGUUAAGGAUAGACCGAGGAUGUUUAGUGUUGAAGAAGGUGACAGCUGAGUGUUGUCGAAGAAUAGGGGAUAGGUGUUUGGAAGAUUGUGUCGAGUUGAUAGGUGGAGAAAUUGAGUUUUUGAGGCAUUGAAGGACACAAGGUUCCUCCUGCCCCAAUCGGAAAUGAUAGCAAGGUUUGAGGUUAAGCGUUCUGCAACCUCCAGUCUGGAGUCGUGUACUUCCUGUUGUGAUGGUCUUCUAUUGAAAGAAGUUGAAUAAUGCAGAGUGGAGUCGUCGGCGAACGAGUGGACAGGACAGUUUGUUAUGGAAAGAUCAUUGAUGAAUAACAGGAAGAGAGUGGGUGAGAGGACAGAACCCUGUGGAACGCCACUGUUGAUAGGUUUAGGGGAAGAGCAGUGACCGUCUACCACCGCAGAGAUAGAACGGCCGGAAAGGAAACUGGAGAUAAAGGAACAGAGAGAGGAAUAGAAUCCGAAAGAGGGCAGUUUAGAAAGCAAAGACUGGUGCCAGACUCUAUCGAAGGCUUUCGAUAUGUCUAGCGCAACAGAGAAAAUUUAACCGAAACUGCUAAGAGAGGAUGACCAAGAGUCAGUUAAGAGAGCAAGAAGAUCGCCACUAGAACGCCCCUUGCGGAAUCCAUACUGGCGAUCAGAUAGAAGAUUAGAAGUGGAAAGCUGCUUUUGAAUCUUCUGGUUAAGGAUUGAUUCAAAAGCUUUAGAUAGACAUGAAAGUAAAGCUAUUGGGCGGUAGUUUGAGGGAUUGGAGCGGUCACCCUUCUUAGGCAUAGGCUGUACAAAGGCAUACUUCCAGCAGGAAGGAAAGAUAGAUGUUGAUAGGCAGAGACGAAAGAGUUUGACCAGGCAGGGUUUCAGCACAGAAGCACAGUUUUUAAGGACAAUAGGAGGCACUCCAUCAGGUCCAUAAGCCUUCUGAGAGGUGAGGCCAAUGAUGGCAUAGAAAUCAUCAUUAGGAAGAAUCUUAAUAACAGACAUAAAGGAGUCAGAGGGGGGAUGAGUAGGAGGAAUAUGCCCAGAAUCGUCCAAGGUGGAGUUCUUACAGAAAGUUUGAGCGAAGAGUUCAGCCUUAGAGACAGAUGAGACGGCAGUGCUGCCGUCAGGGUUAAGGAGAGGAGGGAAAGAGGAAGAAGUGAAAUUGGAGGAGAUAUUUUUGGCUAGAUGCCAGAAGUCACGGGAAGAAUUAGAAGAAACAAGGUGUUGACAUUUUCUAUUUAUAAAAAAAGUUUUGGUAAGUCGGAGAAUAGAUUUGGCACGAUUCCGGACUGAAAUAUAUAGAUCAAAGUUAGUGGGAGUUCGAAGGCUCUGGAACCUUUUGUGAGCUGCCUCUCUAUCUUUAAUAGCACGAGAACAAGCAUGAUUAAACCAAGGCUUUUUAGUAUGAGGAGUAGAGAAAGUACGUGGGAUGUAUGCCUCAAUUCCAGAGACAAUCACCUCUGUGAUCCGCAGAGCACACACAGAGGGGUCUCAUUCCACGGGAAAUCGGAAAAGUACAUCCUCAGGUCGUCCCACCGAGCUGAAGCAAAAUGCCAGAAGCAUCGCCUCCUCGGCGGGUCCAGAGGAUGCACAGGAGCGAUAUGACAGGAUACAGAAAUAAGGUUAUGAUCGGAGGAGCCCAACGGAGAGAACAGUUUGACAGAGUAAGCAGAAGGAUUAGAGGUAAGGAAGAGGUCUAGAAUGUUGGGCCUGUCUCCAAGACGGUCGGGAAUACGAGUAGGGUGCUGAACGAACUGCUCUAGGUGAGGUAAGGUGGGGUUGAGUGUACAGGAGCUGCCUUGUAUAGGCCAACCGGCCUCUUGCAGACUCCUUACGUUCUUAUGUUCUUAUGUAACCAGGAACCAGCAAUACUCAUCCUUCUGGACUUUGCAAAGUUCAGAACUGGAGUGUUACGUGUCUGUUGGCAGAGCCAUGGGGACAAACAUAUAACUCGUAGUCAUCUCUCCCUGUUCGAGUAACUGCGUUGAAGUUACCCAAGACAAAGAGGCUUAAGCGCUUCUUCAAAGCUGCAUAUUCACUAACAUCAUACAAUACCAGGUAAAUUUACCCUUUCAGAAUGGACAAUUCUCUUAUAUGACACUACAAGCUAAAUGAAUAUCUUGUUUAGUUACCAGAAAUUUACAAUUUUGCAUUAAAUGACCUAAGUUAUGCUUCCCUCCUGGAAUACUUCAAGAACAAUCCAGAAACAUAAAACAGUAUGUAGGAUAAAGAAAUCCUCAAUGUUUUGGCAAGUUUUUAUGAAAAAUAAAUCCCUGACAUUUCUAAUUGUAAAUCAAAUUUAAUUACUAUUCCUUUUAGUUUGAAAGUCAUUAUCGUACAUUAUACAUGACCAUUAUUAAUUAAAAUCAUCUUAAAAUCAUAUACUUAAGGUCCAAUUAAUUAAUUACGUUGCUAAGAAGAAACUUCGCCUUCGUUUAAAAUUUUACAUAUUUUUUUUGUUUUUCUUUUUGUAUUUAUAUCCAUACCUGUAGACGAUCCUUACAAAUUGAUUUUUUUUUUUUUUACCAAUGUUUACUUACUUGUAAAAUGUUCUCAGAGUUGUGCUUUAUACAGAUUGGAGUAAAAGGAUACAUCAUGGCAUGCAUAAAAAAAG